AAACCAGUGGUUCCCAACCUUGUUUUGACCAGAGAACACAUGACCAGGGCCCACUUGACUAGGGCCCACUUGGCCAGGGCCUACUUUGAUGAGGAACCACAUGAUCGUGGUCUCGAUAACAACUAGGGCCUACUUUGAUGAGGAACCACUUGACUAGGGCUUACUUUGAUGAGGAACCACUUGACUAGGGCCUACUUUGAUGAGGAACCACUUGACUAGGGCCUACUUUGAUGAGGAACCACUUGACUAGGGCUUACUUUGAUGAGGAACCACUUGACUAGGGCCUACUUUGAUGAGGAACCACUUGACUAGGGCCUACUUUGAUGAAGAACCACUUGACCAGGGCCUACUUUGAUGAGGAACCACUUAACCAGGGCCUACUUUGAUAAGGAACCACUUGACUAGGUCCUACUUUGAUGAGGAACCACUUGACUAGGUCCUACUUUGAUGAAGAGCCACUUGACUAGGGCCUACUUUGAUGAAGAACCACUUGACUAGGGCCUACUUUGAUGAGGAACCACUUGACUAGGUCCUACUUUGAUGAGGAACCACUUGACUAGGGCCUACUUUGAUGAAGAACCACUUGACCAGGGCCUACUUUGAUGAGGAACCACUUGACUAGGGCUUACUUUGAUGAGUAACGACUUGACUAGGGCUUACUUUGAUGAGGAACCACUUGACUAGGGCUUACUUUGAUGAGUAACGACUUGACUAGGGCUUACUUUGAUGAGGAACCACUUGACCAGGGCCUACUUUGACCAGGGACCACUUGACCAGGGAACACUCUCCAACAUUAGUACCAAAAGGGUUACGAAUCCAUUGUUGGUCAACGUUAGAUUCGGUUUGGUUAUUUGGGAUGCCGAUUCAGAAAACCACAUUGGAGAGACCACAUCAGCAAUAAUUUCUGAUACAGGACAUAUGCCAUCCAGUAGUUGCCAGUUGCUCGCCUGCAGAAAACCAUCUAUAUAAAUAAAAAAUGUUGCUACGAAAUUUGGACACAACGUACCAUUCAAACGGAUGAGUGUUUUAAGGCAUUCGCAUGCCUAUUAUCAUAAACCUGUCACAGCAGAGACAGGUAAAACUAGGCGAAUCAGUGUCGUCAGCAACCGGUUCCUCCCAUUAGCAACACAAUGUACCAUUCAAACUGAUGAGUGUUUUAAGGCAUUUGCAUGCCUACUAUUAUAAACCUGUCACAGCUGAGACAGGUAAAACCAUGCCCCUUAGCAACGGCCAAUCAGAUGGUUCUUCCUGUUAGCAAAGGCAUUAGCAAUGGCCAAGAGUCUCCUCCCUUUAGUAACUGGUGUGGGCGGGGCUGCAAGGGAUGGCUAGUUGUUCUCGUUGCAAUGGUGUAGUAACGACCAUAUUUUAGUUCUUGCGGACCACUCGUUGGGAACCACUGGUGUAGAUGACUGUUGUUGCUCCAUCCUUGAAAGCUUCCUAAGAAUUCCACGGCUCAGAACUAUUGGCCUUUGUCCUGAGGUCCCAACACAUCUCGGAAUCGGAAGCUUCAGAACAGAACAAACCCGGACUCGAGGCCAUGACACCUGCAGUUUCCAGGUACAAGGAUACUUUGAUAGGCCUCACCAGCAGACCUGGAGCCACGUUGUCACCUGAGUCCCACUUGUAACUAGGAAAAUGCAGGUGACGUGUAUUGUUUCUAAGUAAAAAUGCUGUCCACCCUCCUGGAUUUUUUCCUCUUCUUCCUCUUACGCCUCGCCGCGACGCAAAAUCUGAGCAAGAUCCAAGAUCCAUAUAAACAGGAAUGCGUUGAAAGACAGAUUCAUUGUCACCAGAAGGCAGUUUGUCAACAAGAUGAGCUCACGUUGGAUUUCUACUGCCGUUGCUUACCGGGAUACAGAGGAGACGGGAUACGCAUCUGCCAAGACCCUGUAUUUCGUGUCACCGUGUCCAACGCAUCUGCCUGCGAUGACGUGGGAGUUCAAGUGUGUCAUCUCAUGGUAACGGAACCAAACGUCACCUUCAAUGUCUCGGUCUCCACCUCCGGCAACGUCCCACCGUACAUCGUGCAGUGGUACAAAUUCUACUCUGGACAAAGCCCGCAAUUCAACAGUUAUCGAAGAAGGCUGGGCGACACUCUGAGGGUGGUUAUGGGCCACCACGGCCUGGCGCUGACCCUGCUUUCCAUCAAGGAGGACGAUUUUUACCCAAACCUUUUCUGGGCGGAAGUGAGGCUGCACCCAUCGCCGGACAAACCAGCCAAGGCGGAGGUGUACGAUCUGACGGUCUUUGAGAUGUUGAAUCCGUCUAGCUUGAGAUACUACUUUGUGCUGGACAGCAGACCUAUAGAGCUGGGCGAGUUCUUGGAAGGGGAUGCUGUCGCCAUUUACUUGCCCCAGUACCUCCAGCUUUCUCCUUCCAGCUUUGUCCAGUGGACCAAGGAGCCGCGGCCAAUGGCAGUGCUGGGCAGCUCUCCGGUGGUCCUGGUUGACGCCACGGAAGGGAUCGAGAUCGGAAGCUUAAAGGAACAAGAUUUUGGCUACAUCCGAGCACUGGUUUACGAUUUCAGCCCCGACCUUCCCGGACGUGUGUUGGUAGCUCAGAGGCUCUUCCUCGUGAAGAAAGAUAUCAGCAAAACGUGUGUUGGGAAUCGCAACGCGGCCAACUGUUACUGCAAGCCCGGAUUUGAGGGAAACGGUGUACACUGUGUCGACGUGGAUGAGUGUGCGGACGGGACGAGCUGCCUUCCAGAGGCAGAGUGUGUCAACAUCUACGGGUCUUAUUUGUGCCGCUGCCCGGAAGGUUUCGAAGGAGACGGUCGGGUCACCUGCAUAGACGUGGAUGAAUGCAUAAAGGGAAGCCAUUCCUGCAACCGCGACGCAGUGUGCUUGAACACUUUGGGCUCUUACGACUGCAUGUGCCAAAGCGGGUUCGUUGGCGACGGCAUCCACUGCAGAGCCAAAAGCACCUGGACCCCUUGGUCUCCGUGGUCCGUCUGUUCCGCCACCUGCGGCUUCCAGAACCGGAUCCGGAUCCGCCGGUGCACUCACCCGGAGAGCGGCAUGCGCUGUGUGGGUCCUUCUGCCGACCUCAAGCCGUGCCUUGACCUCCCGUCUUGUCCCGUGGAUGGCCACUGGUCAGAAUGGUCACCCUGGUCGAUGUGUACGGAGACGUGUGCAGGGGUCAAGGAACGGAUCCGGACCUGUGACAGCCCUGGACCUUCCGGAGGAGGGAAGCCGUGCCAAGGAGAGAAGGUCCAGUUCGCCAUGUGUGAGAGCAAACCGUGUCCAGUGGACGGAGGGUGGUCUGCUUGGACCUCGUGGACUCCUUGCCCCGUCUCCUGCGGACUCGCCAUUGUGAGCCGAACCCGGCAAUGCAACGUUCCGGCCCCAAAACACGGAGGGAAGACCUGCAGUGGCCACGGAUAUGAGGAAGGCUCCUGCGGAUUUCCAGCGGCUUUCUGUCAAUACCUGACAAAACCCUAUGAAUCGACGAUAUCAAGGAAACCGGUUGACUGAGUAACUGGCAAGAAGGACGUUGACGACAAGACCGAGUUUCCUUGAUGGUUUCUGCAAUUGUGAUGGAAAUGGGUCCCAGAACCGAACCUAGUUCCCUGUGGUUGGGGUACGACCAGAGACAUAGAUGGGUACCCAGAAACCAUUUCUGGGAAGACUUCAAGGGACAUAGCAAAAGCUACCUUCAGAAGAAAAUUGUGCAAACUUCACAGAAUUGUCUUCUCUGGAACGAGAGAACCGGAUAAUGUGAGGAAUGUUCAUAGAUUGUGGAGCGAUUUCGACACAAACGGGUCGUGUUUGGGAUUCCUGUGGAUGGAAACUAACUACAGAUAAACAACGAAUGGCCCCAGAUUUGGCCCGGUGUUGGGGCCGUGCUGUUGCGGCUGGCCGACUAACUGGUUCACCGAUGGCAGUUUGUUGACCCCUCCUGCGUGGAGCUUGUUCAUCGGGGACAGGACCGGACCGUACGAAGACGGAGGCUGCAGGUGAGUCCUGUGUGUUAUAUGAGAAGUUUGAAACAUUCAUUUUCAAUAGGAUGCAUUUGUUACAAUUAGAGUUAGCAGAUGAAUUGCACUAUUGCGCAUGCUUGCGUUCUCAAGGAGGAAGUAGAGACAUCCACAAAUAUGGAUGCUGCACAACAUUCCCAACACCAAAUAUGUCUGGAUGCAUAAUAUGUUCCAGCGUGAAAGAUAUCCCAGUGCAUAAUGUGUUCCAAUGUGCAAUAAUAAUACAUUUUAUUAUUGCACAUUGGGAUGUGUUCCUAGGUGAAAUAUGCUCAUGUAUAUAAUGUGUUCCAAUAUGUAAUAUGUUCCAAUGUGAAAUAUAUCCCAGUACAUAAUGUGUUCCAAUGUGCAAUAAUAAUAAUACACUUUAUCAUUGCACAUUGGGAUGUAUUCCUAGGUGAAACAUGCUCAUGUAUAUAAUGUGCUCCAAUAUGUAAUAUGCUCCAUUGUGUAAUAUAUCCCAGUACAUAAUGUGUUCCAAUGUGCAACAAUAAUAAUAAUACACUUUAUUAUUGCACUUUGGGAUAUGUUCCUAGGUGCAAUAAACAUGUAUAUAAUGUGUUCCAAUAUGCAAUAUGCUCCAAUGUGCAAUGUAUUUCCAAUGUGAAAUAAUACUACACUUUAUUAUUUCACACUGGGAAUGUGUUCCUAUGUGCAAUAUGCUCCUCUGCAAUGAGUUCCUUGAUUUGGUAUAUAAUGUGUUCCAAUAUGUAAUAUGCUCCAAUGCGAAAUAUAUCCCAGUACAUAAUGUGUUCCAAUGUGAAAUAAUAAUACACUUUAUUAUUUCACAUUGGGAUGUUUUCCUAUGCUCAUGUGCAAUGUGUUCUUAGUUUAAUAUGCUCAUGUGAAAUGUGUUCCUAUGUGCAAUAUGCUCAUGUGCAGUGUGUUCCUAAGUGAAAUAUGCUCAUGUGAAAUGUGUUCCUAGGUGCAAUAUGUGUUCCAGCAUGAAAUAUGCUCCAAUGUGCAAUGUCUCCCAGUGCAUGAUAUGUUCCAAUGUGCAAUGUUUUCCAAUGUUUUCUGAUGUGAAAUAUACCCCAAUAUCUAAUGUGCUCCAAAGUGUAAUAUGUCAAAAUGAAUCGUGUGUCGGUGUACUUUGUGUCCCCAUGUACAAUAUAGCCUAAUGCACACAUUCCAAUGUGCAAUAUGUCCCAAUGCACAACAACUUCUAAUGUCCAA